rnacentral:rRNA from 1 species
UAGUCCACGCCGUAAACGAUGGAUACUAGGUGUCCGGGAAGUUAACCUCCUGGGUACUACAGCUAACGCGUUAAGUAUCCCGCCUGGGGAGUACGGUCGCAAGGCUAAAACUCAAAGGAAUUGACGGGGGCCCGCACAAGCGGUGGAGUAUGUGGUUUAAUUCGAAGCAACGCGCAGAACCUUACCUACCCUUAACAUUUCACGCUCGCCUCAGAGAUGAGGUUUUCUCUUCGGAGACGUGAGGAUAGGUGCUGCAUGGCUGUCGUCAGCUCGUGUCGUAAGAUGUCUGGUUAAGUCCAAUAACGAGCGCAACCCUUGUCUUUAGUUGCCAUCAUUAAGUUGGGCACUUUAAAGAGACUGCCGGUGACAAACCGGAGGAAGGUAAGGAUGACGUCAAGUCAGCAUGCCCCUUACGCCCUGGGCUACACACGUGCUACAAUGGUCGUGACAAAGGGUCGCUAAUCUGCAAAGACAUGCUAAUCUCAUAAACACGGCCUCAGUUCGGAUUGCAGGCUGAAA